rnacentral:rRNA from 1 species
CAGCAGUGGGGAAUAUUGGACAAUGGGCGAAAGCCUGAUCCAGCCAUGCCGCGUGUGUGAAGAAGGUCUUCGGAUUGUAAAGCACUUUAAGUUGGGAGGAAGGGCAGUUACCUAAUACKUGACUGUUUUGACGUUACCGACAGAAUAAGCACCGGCUAACUCUGUGCCAGCAGCCGCGGUAAUACAGAGGGUGCAAGCGUUAAUCGGAAUUACUGGGCGUAAAGCGCGCGUAGGUGGUUWGUUAAGUUGGAUGUGAAAUCCCCGGGCUCAACCUGGGAACUGCAUUCAAAACUGACUGACUAGAGUAUGGUAGAGGGUGGUGGAAUUUCCUGUGUAGCGGUGAAAUGCGUAGAUAUAGGAAGGAACACCAGUGGCGAAGGCGACCACCUNGACUAAUACUGACACUGA